ensembl:lncRNA
GUUGUUUCCUGUCUUUGUGUUCUCUGCACCAGAUAGGACUGUUUCGGUUUGUAGGUGGUUGUUUCCUGUCUUUGUGUUCUCUGCACCUGAUAGGACUGUUUCGGUUUUGCCACGUGUUAUUUUGUAUUUGUGUUCAUGUUUCAUGUUUCUUAUUAAGAAACAUGAACUUUAACCGCGCUGCAUUUUGGUCCUCCUCUUCUUCCACGGAAGAUAGCCAUUACAGUAUAUGUGUUUCAGCCUUGGAAAUAGAAAUGUUGUUGCUAUGACACCCUAGGUUGUCACACCCUGAUCAGUUUCACCUGUCCUUGUGAUUGUCUCCACCCCCUCCAGGUGUCGCUUAUUUUCCCUGGUGUAUUUAUCCCGGUGUUUCCUGUCUCUCUGCCAGUUUGCCUUGUAUGUUUUUCAAGUCAAUCUAUGUUUUUCCUGAACUCCUGCUUCUAUUCUCUUUUGCAAGUCCUCCCAGUUUUUGACCCUUGCCUGUUUUCUGGACUCCGUACCCGCCUGCCUGACCUCGAGCCUGUCUGACCAGUCUGCCUACCCUGACCUCUAGCCUGCCUGCCACUCUGUACCUCCUAGAUACUGAUCUGGUUUUGACUUUUUUCCUGUCCACGACCGUUCUUGGAUUGUUUAAUAAAUAUCAAGACUCACACCAUCUGCCUCCAGUGUCUGCAUCUGGGUCUCGCCUUGUGCCCUUAAAUAGGUGAAAGAACAUCAAUCUACUGGUGGCUUGCACCUGUAUUUGGGAAUGAACAUGUAUAUUUCUACUUUCUUAGUUAAUAAAAAAACAUGUUUAUUGUUUUGUUCAUGAGACUAGCUCAGCUCGGAGACUCACAAAGCCCAGGAGAAGAGCUGGACAAAUUGCUGUAAUGCUGCAGGGUUUCAAAGCUAUAAUUUGUAAAGGAUUCGGCAACCUGCAGUUUUUAAAUUGGCUGUCGCUGUUAUAUGGCAUAUGCAUACAGGAACUGGAGUAAAAAUGAUGUGUAAUGGCUGUGUAAAUAUUCUAUUUUGUGCUUUAAACAUCCAUGAUAUGUUAUUACCUGACAGAAAAACAAGUGUGAGGAACAUCUAUCAAGUAAAAAUGGUAUGAACUGUACUAAUGGGGAUUGCAUUGUCUCAGUGAAAACCUAUUUUAUCAGCACAGACUAGACACACUAC